CCCUAGCCCUGAUAGAAAUGGAAAUCCUUUAAUUUUUUUUCUUCAAAAAAAUUAAAGAUUGAAAUGGAUAGCAGGAUUAGCU
rnacentral:sRNA from 1 species